UGUGUGUGUUUGUGUGUGUCUGUAUUUCUGUGUGUCUGUGUUUGUGUGUGUCUGUAUAUCUGUGUGUGCGUGUGUGUGUGUGUUUGUAUUUCUGUGUGUAUGUGUUUGUGUGUGUCUGUAUAUCUGUGUGUGCGUGUGUUUGUGUGUGUGUAUAUCUGUGUGUGCGUGUGUUUGUGUGUGUCUGUAUUUCUGUGUGUCUGUGUAUAUCUGUACCUGUGUGUGUGUGUGUUUGUGUGUAUCUGCAUAUCUGUACGUGUGUGUGUGUGUGUGUCUGUAUAUCUGUGUGUCUGUGUAUAUCUGUACCUGUGUGUGUGUGUUUGUGUGUAUCUGCAUAUCUGUAUGUGUGUGUGUGUGUGUGUGUGUGUGUGUGCGUGUGCAUGCGUGCUGUGCAUUCAUAAGUGGCAAUGCAACUUCCUGUGAUCCCAGCCGCAGAGAUACCUGUCAUCAGUGAGUUUCCUCCUUUUCUCUGAAAAUCUGACUUCAUCCUGGCCCACGAGGGGGGUGGUCAUGUGACCUGGCCUCGAAGGUCACUGGACGCAAGUGGUCCCUACCCCCACCAGCACUGUGCCCCAAUGGCAAGGCGCCACAUCCCACAUGGGGGAGGGCUCUGCCUUGAUAAAUAAUUGAAUAAUACACCUCAGAGCAGUGUGGGAGGUGUUCAUUAAGGUGGGGGCUCAGUCCAUGCCUCUAUGGCUGUUCAGCUGUGGGGGUGGUGAGAAUGAAGUCAUGGUUAUAGAAACCUUGGGAAAUAAAUGCAUGUCAGCCGUAUACAGACUCUUAUGUCAUAGCGGUGGAUGUUUCGUGCAUGUGUGGCUGCAUGUAUAGUGUGUGUGUGGGUGGGUGGGUGCGCCGGUGUGCGUGUGCUGGUCCUUGGUGACUCUGCCCGACCCGCAGCACCUGCGUCGCCUGGGCUGGACGGCGCCGCUGCGUGAAACGGGAGAUGUCCGUCUCUGAGGUCACGCCCUGGUUACCCGCCUUCUCAAGGGGUCAGGUGACCUUCACUUGAGUUGUUUACCCUUGCUCAUCUUUGAUAAGGGGCUUUUGAACGGCAUUAACACUGGAAGCACCAGUCUCAACAUAACUAAUUAUCAGCCCACUCAUCGAAAAAACACAAUGUAAUACGUAUUAAGCUAUUAAUCUGUUCUGUAGAUCAGAAUGUUAUAUUACUAUGAUACUGUCAACCUUUUCAUGAAAUAUUAUUGGCAUGGUAUGGGUUAGGG